GAAGAUCUUACAUGCAGAAGAUACACAACAAUGUACCCUCUAUGGAGUCUGGCUUUACUGAAAGUUUUCUGGAUUUCCUCUGUACAUUGCCAGAAUUCUGUAGAUUACCAAAACAGCACCAUCACCAUCACACAAGGAGAAAAUGUGACUCUAUAUUGUGGAUAUAAAGCAUCUAGUUUUUAUGGGUUAAGCUGGUACAGGCUGAACCCUGGAGGUGGUCCAGUUCUCAUCAUAAAUGCUCCUUCAGAACAGCAAAAACCAGAAGGAAGAUUCACCGUUUUCUUCCCAAACAAGGGAAGCUGUUUACUGCACAUCCAACACUCCAUUGUAUCUGACUCUGCGUUGUAUCUCUGCUCGGUGGAGGCACAGUGUAUGAACCGACAGGAAGACCUGUGCAAGAACUUCAUCUACAUGCAAUAACCUCAUGAACAAUGGCUGUGUCCUACAGUAAAAGAGUUCACAUUUGUAGACUGUUUGCUAUAGCAACACCUAAAUAUUAUAAAGAAAUUAACUUUCUAUAUGGAUAUAUUAGGAAUAUGGAAAGCCUUAGUCUGGGUUCACACUGCUGCUGUGCGAGACACUGCAUGUAAUAUGCACAGGAAUCACAGCAUAUUCCUGUGCAAAUGAUAUGAGGUUUCUCUGGGGUGCGAUUUGAGCCAUGGAUUUGUAUGGUUCAAAUCACACUGCAUUUGCACCAAACUGGUGUAGGACCCUUUUUUGUCAGCACCAGAAUUGGAUCGCAUGGGUGUUUACCAGUGUCGGCUGGUGAAGUGCAUCAGACUCCGAUCUUCCUUUUGGACCACUCCCACUUCCCAUAAGUCCUACCCCUUAUCAACCCACUCCAUCCUCUGUAUUGCACUUGCUUCCACCUAUAGUGUCGUGAGUAUACAGCCCCAGAAUCACAGGACAGAGUAUACAGCUCAGCCUCACAGAUAGGGUAUAUAACUCAGCCUCGCAAAUACGGUAUAUAGAUCAGCACCACAGGUGGCCCUCUACUUUCACAGCACCCCCCUCCCCACGCGGGUAGAUCGCGGAACUUUUACAGCAACCCUACCCCAGGCACACUCACAGCACCCCCCACCCGGGUGGCUCGCGGCACUUAUCAGGUGUCCUCUCCUCCUCUCCUGUGUCUACUCCAGGCAGCUUUCUGUGCUCUGUCCCACUUCCGUCAAAGCGCUGGGCAUCCAAUAGGUGCUUUGGCCAAUCGGGAAACAGGUCUCAGUGACCUGCCUCCUGAUUGGCGGGGAGGCACAGUGGUGUGAAAAUAGCGAAUAUUCAUUUACUAUGGUCACACAAUUGGGUGAGAUCAGAGCACACUCUCUGGAGGUCGCUUCUAAUCAGGUGCUUCAAAAAAAUACACACCCUCAUGCCCCCUGCCAUAGGAGUCCAUGCAUCCCGAAACAGGCUGGGCACACGGAUAGGGAGGCAGCAGCAAGCAUAGGGUGGUGGCGCCCGUGCGCCCACAAUGCACAGACCGCCACUGGUGUUUACACUCAUCCCAUGCGAUCCAAUUAUGCAAAUUGUGCUGCAUUUUGCAAACCGUUUGUGGGGUGUUGUUAACUUAACACAAUCAGUUUGCAUGGAUGGGUUGUGAUUUAGGUUUGGUGCCGAACCUGCAGCAAAUUCUAGUGUGAAACCACGCUUAAAGUAGAUCUAUACCCAAUCUUUAAAAUCCCAUAACAGCUUUAUCGUGCAGUUUAUAAAGUAAUUCUCAGUCUAUUUAAAUUGCAGCUUUUAUUAAAAUAAUA